rnacentral:rRNA from 1 species
CCCCAAGACAGGUGCUGCAUGGCUGUCGUCAGCUCGUGUCGCGAGAUGUUGGGUUAAGUCCCGCAACGAGCGCAACCCUUGUCUUUAAUUGCCAUCAUUGAGUUGGGCACUUUAAAGAGACUGCCGGUGUUAAACCGGAGGAAGGUGGGGAUGACGCCAAGUCCUCAUGGCCUUUAUGCCCAGGGCUACACACGUGCUACAAUGGGUGGUACAAAGAGCAGCGAACCCGCGAGGGUAAGCGAAUCUCAAAAAGCCAUCCUCAGUUCGGAUUGAAGUCUGCAACUC